rnacentral:rRNA from 1 species
GAUGAACGCUGGCGGCGUGCUUAACACAUGCAAGUCGAGCGGAAGGACGCGGCGCUUGCUUCUUUGACGUUAGCGGCGCACGGGUGUGAAACAUGUGUAUAACCUACUUAUCAGACUGGGAAAACCUCGGGAAACCGGAGCUUAUCCCGGAUGAUAUUCUGAACCACAUGGUUGAAAAGUGAGAGACGGUCUUGCUGUCACUUAUCGAUGGAUCCGCGCUGGAUUAGCUAGUUGGUGAGGAAACGGCGUACCAAGGCAACGAUGCGUAGCCGAACUGAGAGGGUGAUCGGCCACACUGGAACGGAGACACGGCCCAGACUCCUACGGGAGGCAGCAGGAGGGAAUCUGGCGCAAUGGGCGGAAGCCUGACGGAGCAACGCCGCGGGAUUGAGGAAGGUCUUCGGGUCGUAAAACACUGUUAUUAGGGAAGAACACAUGUGUGAGUAACAGGGCACAUCUUGACGGUACCUAAUCAAAAAGCCACGGCUAACUACGUU